rnacentral:rRNA from 1 species
UACGGAGGGUGCGAGCGUUGUCCGGAAUCAUUGGGCAUAAAGGGCGCGUAGGUGGCCCGGUCAGUUCGUGGUGAAAGCGCGGGGCUCAACCCUGCGUCGGCCAUGAAUACUGCCGCGGCUGGAGCACUGUAGAGGCAGGCGGAAUUCCGGGUGUAGCGGUGGAAUGCGUAGAGAUCCGGAAGAACACCGGUGGCGAAGGCGGCCUGCUGGGCAGUUGCUGACACUGAGGCGCGACAGCGUGGGGAGCAAACAGG